AUGAGGAAACUGAGGCAAACAAGAUGAAGUGACCUGCCCAGGGUCCCACAGCUAGGAAUUGCCAGAUUUGAAUUCAAGAAGAUGCGCUUCCCGACUCAGAACCUGGCGCUCUGUCACUGUAGCACCCAGCCGCCCCAAACGCCUCCCCUUGAUCUGCCAAAGGAGGUAGCUGGAGGCUCAUACAACUGAAGAGUGUUGCCAGAGUGGGACAGAGAUGAGACCGAGGAGCCUGUUUCCAUGAAAGGGGAGGUGAUGUCUAGCAGAAGUGUCUAGAGGAAACUGGAGACUUUGGAUCCUUGGUUCCCAUCCUUCUGCUGACAACGUGCCGGCAGCAGCCUCUCUGAUGGGUGGCACGUGGACUGGAGACACCUUUAAAUGGCUUUUGUUGGUCUUCAUCUGGUCUCUGCCUCUCUUCUCAAAAAGGGAUUCAUUCAAAUGCUGCAACCUCGUGAAUUUGGAAAGGUCAGGAGCACGAGCCAGCUGAGCAAUCAUGUUCGAGGAGUCCUAGAGUCAAGCCCCACCCCGGUUUUGUAGCCAGUCCAGCAACAAGGUCCAGAAGAGCGAAAAGAGACCUUGGAGACCCAGGCCAGUCCUAGGUGAGCUUACCACUGCCAUGAUAAGCUUACAAGAUGACACGGACGUGAUAGGUGGGAACUGAUUGAUUGAUAUCUACAUAAUUGAAGAUGACUUCAGAGAGAAUGACAGGCAGUGACGGGGAGAAACUGCAGAAAGGCGAAUUUAGGCGUGACAUCAGGGAAGACUUCUCCAGAAGUAAAAUGGGCUGCUUCUGGAAGCAGUGAAUUCAUCACUACUUUGUUUGAUUGAGGUCUGGACUUUUGCAAUUAGUCUCCCUGCCUCCAGUCUCUCAUUACUCAGAAUGCCAUCAAACCAUGGAAUCCCUGGCUCCCUCAGUCUCAGCUCACAUACGAGCGAAUGGCCUCCGUUUCCAGAGCCCUGCACUCUCCCACUUAUUCCGUAUGGACUACGUACAUAACUACGCAUAUAACUGUUUCUAACCACGAGGUCUACGAGAGCCUGAGCACGUUGGGCAAAGGGACUGUUUUCAUGUCCCUUUGCAUCACCAGAGUCUACCACCAUGCAGUGUACACUUAAUAAAUACAUGUUAAUUGAUUGGUGCAUGGCCACGUGACGGGUAUGUUGUAGAGAGGAUUGUUCUUCAAGGAGGGUUUGAACCAGAUCACUUCUGAUAGCCUGCAAUGCUGUGAUC